rnacentral:rRNA from 1 species
GACGAACGCUGGCGGCGUGCUUAACACAUGCAAGUCGAACGGAAAGGCCCUGCGUUUGUGCGGUGCUCGAGUGGCGAACGGGUGAGUAACACGUGUGUAACCUGCCCUUGUCUUUGGGAGAACUUCAGGAAACUGGGGCUAAUACAGGAUAGGAGAUCCUGCACCAUGGUGGGCAUUGGAAAGUUUCGGCUGUUGGGGAUGGACUAGCGGCUUAUCAGCUUGUUGGUGGGGUAGUGGCUUACCAAGGCUUUGACGGGUAGCCGGCAUGGGAGGGGGGACGGCGUCCAGGGUACUGCGGUACGCCCCAGUCUCCUACGGGAGGCAGCAGGGGGGAAUAUGGCACAACGGGUGGGAGUCUGAUACGGAAACGUCGCGUGCGGGAUGACGGCCUUCUGGGUGUAAACCGCUUUCGCCUGUGACGAAGCGGGAGUGACGGUAAUGGGUAAAGAAGCACCGGCUAACUACGUG